AGCUUUGCGCAGUGGCAGUAUUGUAUGUAGCCAAUGAGGUUUAUCCGAGGCAUGAUUAUUGCUAAUUGAAAACUUUUCCCUACACCCUGCCGUGAUGACUUGCAGUAUAGUCGGCACUGGCAAACUUUGACAGUCUCUAUGGAGA